UCAUUUAUAGUGGCUCACACUCAAAAUUAUGAGCAAGAUCAUUAUGCAAAAUUUAUCUAAGAAAAUGAGCAAUUCAUGCAUACAAUGCUUGUUCUCAUCAUUCUACCCCUUUCAUAAGUAGCUUUAAGUUCUACCCUUCUUCUUUUUCUUUUUCAAACCCAAAAUACUCUCACUUUCACAUCUCACCCAAUGAACAACUCUCUUUUUAUUUUGACACAACCAACCAGGGACCUUCUUUUCACUUCUUAGCUCUAACUCUUUUUCUUUGCCCUUCCCCACUAUCUUAUUAAGAUCUUUUUUUAUAUAUAUAUAUUUUAGGGGAAGGUCUCAAAUGACAUAAUCUAGAGCUUUCUUUCUUUUGGUCCCUAGGGUAUUUCUUUUUCGCUUACACUCUCUUGUUCAUCUUUCUCAACUUUCUCACAUCCCAAACCCAAGACAUUAAACCUUUAGAGUACAUAAAUCCACU
rnacentral:lncRNA from 1 species